rnacentral:lncRNA from 1 species
UUUAGUCCUUCUAUUCUCUAUUUCACAUAGCCUUCGACCAACCAAUCAAUGUCCGUCAUGUGGCCAACUCCAGGGGCGUGUGGAGAGUCCUUUCAAUUUCAAACUCUCCCCUUUGCUGGCAACACCUUGGCCGCAAUCACGAACAAUUUUCAUAGCCGCAUGAUGAACGAGUGUGAUACGCAGGCAUGUAUGACCUUCAAGACAUGCAAUCGAUUACCAAAAAUGUCCAAUCCCCACGUCCGAAUUCCUUGGUGACGGAUGCCGACCUUUGCCUACAUAAACCACUCUCGGGGACCCUCCAAGUAAGUGCUCUCAAUUCUUCUUAUGCCCUUUUGCUGCCACUCUGUCGCUCUUGCAAUUUCACUGUUUCUUGAGAGUCCAUCUGACUUGAGCGAUGUAGGGUCCCCUGCUGGAUACUUUCUGGCAAGAGAACUCUCUUGUCUUUGUUAUUUCAAGUCGGAUCUGGGAUUUGAGUGAAGGUUCAAGCAUGGUCUCUUCCUCCCAACAUUGGAGGCAUCACCAUCCGAGCAUAGUGGCCACCACAUCAGCACCUUAGAGACAUAUCACGAUCUUCAGCUGACUUUUGCAAUCUAAACAACUGA